rnacentral:rRNA from 1 species
UACGGAGGGGGCUAGCGUUGUUCGGAAUUACUGGGCGUAAAGCGCACGUAGGCGGACCAUCAAGUUGGGGGUGAAAUCCCGGGGCUCAACCCCGGAACUGCCUCCAAAAACUGCUGGUCUGGAGGUCGAGAGAGGUGAGUGGAAUCCGAGUGUAGAGGUGAAAUUCGUAGAUAUUCGGGAGGAAACACCAGUGGCGAAGGCGGGCUCACUGGUC